rnacentral:sRNA from 1 species
GUUUGCACUUAGCUGGAAGGGUAAGAACCUUCGACUAAGGUUCGACUCGAGCGCCAGCGAGAGAACGUUGCCGCAGGCAACGGCCCGAAGGGCGAGGAGAGAUAGCGACGAGUUAUCCUUUCCCCACCACCA